rnacentral:rRNA from 1 species
GAUAUCGGAUUAGCUAGUAGGUGAGGUAAAGGCUCACCUAGGCGACGAUCCGUAGCUGGUCUGAGAGGACGACCAGCCACACUGGAACUGAGACACGGUCCAGACUCCUACGGGAGGCAGCAGUGGGGAAUUUUGGACAAUGGGCGCAAGCCUGAUCCAGCCAUGCCGCGUGAGUGAAGAAGGCCUUCGGGUUGUAAAGCUCUUUCAGCCGGAAAGAAAACGCACAGGUUAAUAACCUGUGCGGAUGACGGUACCGGAAGAAGAAGCACCGGCUAACUACGUGCCAGCAGCCGCGGUAAUACGUAGGGUGCGAGCGUUAAUCGGAAUUACUGGGCGUAAAGCGUGCGCAGGCGGUUUUGUAAGACAGAUGUGAAAUCCCCGGGCUUAACCUGGGAACUGCAUUUUGUAACUGCAAGGCUAGAGUACGGCAGAGGGGGGUAGAAUUCCACGUGUAGCAGUGAAAUGCGUAGAUAUGUGGAGGAAUACCGAUGGCGAAGGC